UUACUAGGGUAUAGCCCAGAGAAAUUUGGAUUAAUCCCCUAUAAUAUCAUUUAAUCGCAUGAUUUUAUGAUUAAAGCUUCGGCGGUAAAAGAUGAGCAUGCGUCCUAUUAGUUAGUAGGUGAGGUAACGGCUCACCUAGACUCCGAUAGGUAGGGGUCCUGAGAGGGAGAUCCCCCACACUGGUACUGAGACACGGACCAGACUCCUACGGGAGGCAGCAGUGAGGAAUAUUGGACAAUGGACGAAAGUCUGAUCCAGCUAUGCCGCGUGCAGGAUGACGGCCCUAUGGGUUGUAAACUGCUUUUAUACAGGAAGAAAAACUCCGACGUGUCG
rnacentral:rRNA from 1 species